ACUCCUACGGGAGGCAGCAGUGGGGAAUAUUGCACAAUGGGGGAAACCCUGAUGCAGCCAUGCCGCGUGUGUGAAGAAGGCCUUCGGUUGUAAAGCACUUUCAGUAGGAGGAAGGUAGUGUAGUUAACACCUGCAUUAUUUGACGUUACCUACAGAAGAAGCACCGGCUAACUCCGUGCCAGCAGCCGCGGUAAUACGGAGGGUGCGAGCGUUAAUCGGAAUUACUGGGCGUAAAGCGCAUGCAGGCGGCCUGUUAAGUCAGAUGUGAAAGCCCGGGGCUUAACCUCGGAAUUGCAUUUGAAACUGGCAGGCUAGAGUCUUGUAGAGGGGUUAGAAUUUCAGGUGUAG
rnacentral:rRNA from 1 species